rnacentral:rRNA from 1 species
AACGAACGCUGGCGGCAGGCUUAACACAUGCAAGUCGAGCGCCCCGCAAGGGGAGCGGCAGACGGGUGAGUAACACGUGGGGAUCUGCCCAAUGGUACGGAAGAGCUCCGGGAAACUGGAAAUAAUACCGUAUGUGCCCGCAAGGGGAAAGAUUUAUCGCCAUGGGAUGAACCCGCGUCGGAUUAGCUAGUUGGUGUGGUAAAGGCGCACCAAGGCGACGAUCCGUAGCUGGUCUGAGAGGAUGAUCAGCCACACUGGGACUGAGACACGGCCCAGACUCCUACGGGAGGCAGCAGUGGGGAAUAUUGGACAAUGGGCGCAAGCCUGAUCCAGCCAUGCCGCGUGAGUGAUGAAGGCCUUAGGGUUGUAAAGCUCUUUCGCCGACGAAGAUAAUGACGGUAGUCGGAGAAGAAGCCCCGGCUAACUUCGUGCCAGCCGCCGCCGUAAAAC